rnacentral:rRNA from 1 species
UACGAAGGGGGCUAGCGUUGCUCGGAAUCACUGGGCGUAAAGCGCUCGUAGGCGGAUCUUUAAGUCAGGGGUGAAAUCCCAAGGCUCAACCUUGGAACUGCCUUUGAUACUGGGGAUCUCGAGUCCGGAAGAGGUUGGUGGAACUGCGAGUGUAGAGGUGAAAUUCGUAGAUAUUCGCAAGAACACCAGUGGCGAAGGCGGCCAACUGGUCCGGUACUGACGCUGAGGUGCGAAAGCGUGGGGAGCAAACAGG